UACGUAGGGCGCAAGCGUUAUCCGGAAUUAUUGGGCGUAAAGAGCUCGUAGGCGGUUUGUCGCGUCUGCUGUGAAAACCUAAGGCUCAACCUUGGGCUUGCAGUGGGGUACGGGCAGACUAGAGGUGCGGUAGGGGUGACUGGAAUUCCUGGUGUAGCGGUGAAAUGCGCAGAUAUCAGGAGGAAUAUCGGAGGCGAAGGCGGCCAACUGGUGAUGACAU
rnacentral:rRNA from 1 species